GAGGAAGUUAUUUUUUAGUACAACAAAAUGUGUAGAAUUGGCAUUCUUUGGAAAUUAAAAGUCUUACCUUUUUUCCCCCUCAAAGAAGAUGACCCUUUAGGGAGGCAAAUGAAUGUGCAUCUCUCUGCUCCGACUUUAAGUUGACUGAACAUCUAUACAAGUUAGGGGCAAAGGAGAAUUACAAUGAAACUCUGGGAAAUCCAAAUAUAUUCAAUAAAUAUGUAUUAUGUGCCAGGCAUUAUUCUAAGUGCUAGAUAACUAAACAAAAGAGACUGGUCCCCAUGGAGCGGAUAUCCAAUGAGAGAAACACACAGUAUACACAGAAGCAAAUAAAUUCACAAUAGAACAUCAGAUAACGGCUUAAGGAGUAUGCAGAAAAAAUACGUGAGAUUUAAGUGGAUAGAGGGGAAUGGCUGGGUAUUUUACACGAGGUGCUCAGAGAAUGCCUUAUAAAAAUAAGCAGCUUCAGCAAUCGAGAUAUAUUUGAAACCAUUGUUUUCUAAAUAUUAGGUUAAGUAUAACAUAAAACGAGAAUCUCUCACAUUCUCUGAACAACUUGGUCAUUUCUGACACGAUUCUAAGGGCUUUGCUGAGAUCUUGCAGCCUGCCUGUCUUCCUGCUGCUUCAACGGCAUUUGUUCCACACGUAGGGCUUUGUUACAAAUUUUUCUUUGGAGAUGAGUUUCAGAUCUAAAAAUACGUUCUCAGACCAAAUAUUCACUUAACACAGGAGGAAACUGAGCUCCAAAGGGGAAGAGUAACUUAGCCAAGGAUGCCUGUGCUCCUAGUGGCCAAGGAAAACCCAGGCUGAGGUCCUCUCCGUGCGCUGCGAUGGCCCGCCGGCUGGUCCUGGGGUCGGAGACCCUGCAGCCCUGCGAGGGGCACAGCGCACCUGUGAUGGGAACAAGCCGGUCCUGGCGGGGCGGGCUGAGCCCAGGCCGCGGCCAAAGACCAGCUGGUGCCUGGAAACAGAGGGUAAGCCGCUAUCCGUGAGCUCUGGAGUGGCUGCAGAAUCCUGGGCGCUGGGCUUCCAGGCUUCAUGGACAUGGGAUCAGGAGGACCUCACUUGUCUGCGCUGCUGCUGUGGCUUUGGUCUGCAUCCCUGGGGUCCUGCAAUGCAUGCAUCCUUUUCUGCUGUGCCUCUAGUAACUUUUCCAGGAGACAAGAGCCCUGAUAAAUGGUGUUUUUCCAUCUUCCCAGCCUGCUGCCCUGCCUGCUCAAGUCUGCCUCUGUUCUGUGUUCUUUGUGCUUCCUAAUGUUUACCCAUCCCUGUCUGAAUGGCUCUUAAACUCAGUCUGGCCUUUUAACAACUGUUCAUAAUAAAAAGACCUAUUACUUACUGCA
rnacentral:lncRNA from 1 species